CAGGAAUUGGAUAUGGGAUCAGGUUUUGGGAAGCGGCACAGGUACUGGAUUUGGGUACAGGUAAUGGAUAUGGGUACAGGUCUUGGUAUGGAUUCAGGAGUUGGAUAUGGGUUCAGGUUUUGGGAAUGGGUACAGGUUGUGGUUAUGGGUACAGGUAAUGGAUGUGGGUACAGGUAUUGGAUAUGGGUACAGGUCUUGGUAUGGGUUCAGGAGUUGGAUAUGGGUUCAGGUUUUGGGAAUGGGUUCAGAUUUUUCGAAUGGGUACAGGCUGUGGUUAUGGGUACAGGUAUCGGAUAUGGGUACAGGUUUUGACAUGGGUUCAGGAGUUGGAU